AUGCCGGGCCAUUGCCUCCUCCUCCUCCCUCCCCAUUGGUGGAGGACGGCGCCGCUGCCACAGAGAGCGAGCCAUCCCGCGGCCAGAGAGGACGCGCCGGGAGGACCGCCCGCCUCGUCUCGCCUCCUCCCGCGUUGUCAUGGCGCCCGCGGGAUGCCGGAAGCGCCGGCCGCGGCUGCCCAGGCCAACGGCCGCCUCGGGCCCCGCCGCCAUCUUCCACCCUUCAUCGCCUCCAGCUGCCCUUCGGCUACAGCCCCCCAAGAACCUGCCUCUCAGCUGAUAGCUUCUCUUUUUCCUAGGAUGGGUGUACCUGAAACACCUAAACCCAGCAGCAGAGACAACCCUUGUCUCACUGCGUCCAUGACCAGAGGACACCAACUGCGGGGCCCGGGACACGAUCCCGUCACCCAGCGCCAUCUGCAGAGCCUGGGACACAAUCCCAUCACCCAGCACCAUCCGCAGAGCCCGGGACACGAUCCCGUCACCCAGCGCCAUCUGCAGAGCCUGGGACACGAUCCCAUCACCCAGCACCAACCACAGAGCCCUGGACACAGCACCGCUGAAAAAUUGCUUGAGCUACUGAGCAGGCCUGACUGUUGUUGUAGCCGGUGGACAAUUUCACUUCUCUUCCAUCACAUAAACAAUUCAGCAUGCCUAAGGGCAGCCUGCUAUGAGUUCCCAGGAACUUUUAGUGUUCCACCAACAAUCAAUAUGCUUCUACAUCAUUCAUUCAGCAGGUGUGAGGCACAGAGGUGCUACACCUCCGGUGGUGCAAGAUCAGGACACAGCCAGGAGACACUAGAGCCAGAACUUCCUGCUGCAUGGCACACACAGUGUUUGUAA
rnacentral:lncRNA from 1 species